rnacentral:rRNA from 1 species
UACGUAGGGGGCAAGCGUUGUCCGGAAUCAUUGGGCGUAAAGCGCGUGUAGGCGGCUUGUCACGUCGGGUGUGAAAGCCCGGGGCUUAACCCCGGGUCUGCAUUCGAUACGGGCUAGCUAGAGUGUGGUAGGGGAGAUCGGGAUUCCUGGUGUAGCGGUGAAAUGCGCAGAUAUCAGGAAGAACACCCGUGGCGAAAGCGGCUCUCUGGAACGGUACUGACGCUGAGACGCGAAAGCGUGGGGAGCGAACAGG